UUUUAAAAGCAUUUGCUUGAGCAAUACAAAAGAGGAAGAGAAAAUGACAUUUUGCUGAUCCCGUUCAUGUAACCUUAAUGAGAAACAGCAGUAAACAGGUCACACGAGCCUGUGCGCGCUUUCAUUUCCAGGAAAGCAGACUGCGGCCCGUGCCAUCUGAUGACAGUUGGAGGACCGUGAUUCAGCAUGUAGGAUGCAAUGAGGUCAGGCUCUCAAUCCACUCUGUGAUUUCACCUGCCUACGAAAUAGCAAAAGAUCACGGCGGCCGGGCAACCGCACCACAACAAAACACAAAUCACUGCCACCUGACCUUACUGGACCUUCCAACGUGGCUGCAUUGAUGACAGCCUGGAUUCUUGAAGAAAAGGUCUCUGAGAUGCUCUGAGGAACACCCAAGGCUUAGUUCUUCAAACUAAAAUGAUUCGUCCGAGUUUGUUGGCAGGAAAAAGAAAUGAGAGAGAAACUUAGCUCUGUGACCACUUCCCCAACAGUCUGUCUAAAACAUAGCUGCAAUUAAUUUAUUGAACAUAUUUUCCCAUACUGUAUUUUUAGAAAACUGCUUCUCACGUGAGUACAGAGAGAAACAAACCACACGAUCAAAUGUUAAUAUGUUCUGUCAUAACUCUUUUGACCACAUUUUGCUCUACCCUCCUCUCUGAGAAUCUCUGUGACCUUGGACUUGCUGUUCCUAUUCUUUCCAUAACAGUGAUUUGAAUGGGAACAGUAGAGCCAGCAAGGGCAGAAGGGUUCAUUGGAACCCUUCUCCUUACAGCGAGAGACAACUCCUACAGUUCCUGAAGAGAACCUUCGUGGACCACAUGCUCCGAAUAGCAAAGGCGUUUUAUAGACCUACUUCUACGGCAGGCAGAGAGCCCAGACUGCCCCGUGCAACAGCACAGGCGCUGAUGCAAGGAUGAAAGCCCAGAUCCUGAAGUGCCUGCAGGUUUUAGAUCUGUUGAUGCCCGGGUAAAACGUGCAGUUGAAUAGAUGGCAGACAUUUCCCUCUGGAGCUUGCCUGGUCUUGCCAGGAAAGAGAAGCGCCCCUCUAUCAUUCCUAAUUGUACCUUUUAGACUGUUUUAUAAUUACUGCACACUUCUGGAGCGGAGCUGUGUCUCACACAUCCAAAAACUUCCCGGAACUAUAUUGCUCAUUUGGAACUCCCUGAAGGGUGACUGCCUGAACCAGGCUGCAGUGCUCAGAAAGGAAGGGGCCCACCCCACACAUUUCCCCAGUUACCCCUCACUUGUAAUGUACCUCAGUUCCAUCCAGAGGUGCAACCCAGAGCUUACACAAAUGUAAGUGAAAAACAAACUUGGUGUCAGAAUAAACA